rnacentral:rRNA from 1 species
AGUGAACGCUGGCGGUAGGCCUAACACAUGCAAGUCGAACGGCAGCACAGUAAGAGCUUGCUCUUACGGGUGGCGAGUGGCGGACGGGUGAGGAAUACAUCGGAAUCUACUUUUUCGCGGGGGAUAACGUAGGGAAACUUACGCCAAUACCGCAUACGACCUACGGGUGAAAGCAGGGGAUCUUCGGACCUUGCGCGAUUGAAUGAGCCGAUGUCGGAUUAGCUAGUUGGCGGGGUAAAGGCCCACCAAGGCGACGAUCCGUAGCUGGUCUGAGAGGAUGAUCAGCCACACUGGAACUGAGACACGGUCCAGACUCCUACGGGAGGCAGCAGUGGGGAAUAUUGGACAAUGGGCGCAAGCCUGAUCCAGCCAUACCGCGUGGGUGAAGAAGGCCUUCGGGUUGUAAAGCCCUUUUGUUGGGAAAGAAAAGCAGCAGGUUAAUACCCCGCUGUUCUGACGGUACCCAAAGAAUAAGCACCGGCUAACUUCGUG